UACGGAGGGUGCAAGCGUUAUCCGGAUUCACUGGGUUUAAAGGGUGCGUAGGUGGGUAGGUAAGUCAGUGGUGAAAUCCCCGAGCUUAACUUGGGAACUGCCGUUGAUACUAUCUACCUUGAAUAUCGCGUAGGUAAGCGGAAUAUGUCAUGUAGCGGUGAAAUGCUUAGAUAUGACAUAGAACACCAAUUGCGAAGGCAGCUUACUUCACGAUUAUUGACACUGAGGCACGAAAGCGUGGGGAGCAAACAGG
rnacentral:rRNA from 1 species